AGCAUAGUCUUAGCUUGCUAAGGCCGAUGGCGACCGGCGCACGGGUGCGUAACGCGUAUCCAACCUGCCUUACACUCUUGGACAGCCUUCUGAAAGGGAGAUUAAUACAAGAUGUUAUCAUGAGUAAGCAUGUUCACAUGAUUAAAGGUAUUCCGGUAGACGAUGGGGAUGCGUUCCAUUAGAUAGUAGGCGGGGUAACGGCCCACCAAACCUUCGAUGGAUAGGGGUUCUGAGAGGAAGGUCCCCACAUUGGAACUGAGACACGGUCCAAACUCC
rnacentral:rRNA from 1 species